AGGUAGUUCAGUGGUCUAGAGCAGUCGCCCGGCAAGCGAAAGACCCGGGUUCGAUUCCCGGUCU
rnacentral:tRNA from 1 species